rnacentral:rRNA from 1 species
GAUGAACGCUGGCGGCGUGCCUAACACAUGCAAGUCGAACGAAGCGCCUGGCCCCGACUUCUUCGGAACGAGGAGCCUUGCGACUGAGUGGCGGACGGGUGAGUAACGCGUGGGCAACCUGCCUUGCACUGGGGGAUAACAGCCAGAAAUGACUGCUAAUACCGCAUAAGACCACAGUACCGCAUGGUACAGGGGUAAAAACUCCGGUGGUAUGAGAUGGACCCGCGUCUGAUUAGCUGGUUGGUGGGGUAACGGCCUACCAAGGCGACGAUCAGUAGCCGGCCUGAGAGGGCGACCGGCCACAUUGGGGGCUGAGACACGGCCCAAACUCCUACGGGAGGCAGCAGUGGGGAAUAUUGCACAAUGGGCGAAAGCCUGAUGCAGCGACGCCGCGUGAGCGAUGAAGUAUUCGGUAUGUAAAGCUCUAUCAGCAGGGAAGAAAUGACGGUACCUGACUAAGAAGCCCGGCUAACUACGUGCCAGCAGCCGCGGUAA